rnacentral:lncRNA from 1 species
AUGAUGUACGUGCUAUUACCACGAUUACGAGGAAAAGAAGUCGCUCUUCAGAAUUCACCAUAACCGUCGACCACUCAUAUUUUAUAUUUUGAGAGUUAUAUUGAUCGUCAUAAAAAAAAUUGAAUUUUAGACCGUGUACAAAAUUUAAAGAAAGGAAGCACGUCAUAAUAUUGAAGAUGGCGAGGGUUUCGUCCAAUAAGUUGAUUUGUUGGGGUGUGACCGGUGCGAUCAUGGCCAGUAUCGGAAUCGUUCUCAUUCCCGUCACAGAUGUCGUCAUUUUAAAAGUCUUGGAACAGGAGGGAAUCAUUGUCCCCAGCGCCCUGGCCUACCCUCUAUGGGAAGAGGUCCCUAUCCCAAUUUAUUUCCAGUUCUGGUUCUGGAACCUCACCAACCCC